ACACAAUACAAUAUAUAACUUACACACUUUAUGAAACUGUUUAUUGUCUUUUAUAGAUUUUAACCAAAAUCCAAUUUAAAAACAUACUUAGAAUAUAAUACACUUAGUGUAUUUAUCAAAUUUAAAACUUAGAUA
rnacentral:misc_RNA from 1 species